rnacentral:rRNA from 1 species
ACGUGAAAUUCCGUCGGAAUCCGGGAGGACCAUCUCCCAAGGCUAAAUACUCCCUAGUGACCGAUAGUGAACCAGUACCGUGAGGGAAAGGUGAAAAGCACCCCGGAAGGGGAGUGAAACAGUUCCUGAAACCGUGUGCCUACAAGUAGUUAGAGCCCGUUAAUGGGUGAUAGCGUGCCUUUUGUAGAAUGAACCGGCGAGUUACGAUUUGUUGCAAGGUUAAGCGGAAAAAGCGGAGCCGUAGCGAAAGCGAGUCUGAAUAGGGCGCAUAAGUAACAGGUCGUAGACCCGAAACCAGGUGAUCUACCCAUGUCCAGGAUGAAGGUAAGGUAAUACUUACUGGAGGUCCGAACCCACGCACGUUGAAAAGUGCGGGGAUGAGGUGUGGGUAGCGGAGAAAUUCCAAUCGAACUUGGAGAUAGCUGGUUCUCUCCGAAAUAGCUUUAGGGCUAGCCUCGAGGUAAAGAGUCAUGGAGGUAGAGCACUGUUUGGACUAGGGGCCCUUCUCGGGUUACCGAAUUCAGAUAAACUCCGAAUGCCAUGUACUUAUACUCGGGAGUCAGACUGCGAGUGAUAAGAUCCGUAGUCGAAAGGGAAACAGCCCAGACCACCAGUUAAGGUCCCCAAAUAUAUGUUAAGUGGAAAAGGAUGUGGGGUUGCUUAGACAACCAGGAUGUUGGCUUAGAAGCAGCCACCAUUGAAAGAGUGCGUAAUAGCUCACUGGUCGAGUGACCCCGCGCCGAAAAUGUACCGGGGCUAAACAUAUUACCGAAACUGUGGAUGAACCUCUUUAGAGGUUCGUGGUAGGAGAGCGUUCUAAGGGCGGUGAAGUCAGACCGGAAGGACUGGUGGAGCGCUUAGAAGUGAGAAUGCCGGUAUGAGUAGCGAAAGAAGGGUGAGAAUCCCUUCCACCGAAUAUCUAAGGUUUCCUGAGGAAGGCUCGUCCGCUCAGGGUUAGUCGGGACCUAAGCCGAGGCCGAUAGGCGUAGGCGAUGGACAACAGGUAGAGAUUCCUGUACCAGUGCUAAUUGUUUAACCGAUGGGGUGACACAGAAGGAUAGGGAAUCGCACGAAUGGAAAUGUGCGUCCAAGCAGUGAGUGUGAGAAGUAGGCAAAUCCGCUUCUCGCGAAGCAUGAGCUGUGAUGGGGAAGGAAAUUAAGUACGGAAGUUCCUGAUUUCACGCUGUCAAGAAAAGCCUCUAGGAAGAGUAGUACUGCCCGUACCGCAAACCGACACAGGUAGAUGAGGAGAGAAUCCUAAGGUGAGCGAGAGAACUCUCGUUAAGGAACUCGGCAAAAUGACCCCGUAACUUCGGGAGAAGGGGUGCUCUAUUAGGGUGCAAGCCCGAGAGAGCCGCAGUGAAUAGGCCCAGGCGACUGUUUAGCAAAAACACAGGUCUCUGCAAAACCGUAAGGUGACGUAUAGGGGCUGACGCCUGCCCGGUGCUGGAAGGUUAAGAGGAGUGCUUAGCUUCGGCGAAGGUACGAAUUGAAGCCCCAGUAAACGGCGGCCGUAACUAUAACGGUCCUAAGGUAGCGAAAUUCCUUGUCGGGUAAGUUCCGACCCGCACGAAAGGCGCAACGAUCUGGGCACUGUCUCAACGAGAGACUCGGUGAAAUUAUAGUACCUGUGAAGAUGCAGGUUACCCGCGACAGGACGGAAAGACCCCGUGGAGCUUUACUGCAACCUGAUAUGGAAUGUUUGUACCGCUUGUACAGGAUAGGUAGGAGCCGAAGAGACGUGUGCGCUAGCAUACGAGGAGGCAAUGGUGGGAUACUACCCUGGCUGUAUGACCAUUCUAACCCGCCACGCUUAGCGCGUGGGGAGACAGUGUCAGGUGGGCAGUUUGACUGGGGCGGUCGCCUCCUAAAGAGUAACGGAGGCGCCCAAAGGUUCCCUCAGAAUGGAUGGAAAUCAUUCGCAGAGUGUAAAGGCACAAGGGAGCUUGACUGCGAGACUGACAAGUCGAGCAGGGACGAAAGUCGGGCUUAGUGAUCCGGUGGUUCCGCAUGGAAGGGCCAUCGCUCAACGGAUAAAAGCUACCCCGGGGAUAACAGGCUUAUCUCCCCCAAGAGUCCACAUCGACGGGGAGGUUUGGCACCUCGAUGUCGGCUCGUCGCAUCCUGGGGCUGUAGUCGGUCCCAAGGGUUGGGCUGUUCGCCCAUUAAAGCGGCACGCGAGCUGGGUUCAGAACGUCGUGAGACAGUUCGGUCCCUAUCCGUCGCGGGCGCAGGAAAUUUGAGAGGAGCUGUCCUUAGUACGAGAGGACCGGGAUGGACACACCGCUGGUGUACCAGUUGUUCCGCCAGGAGCAUCGCUGGGUAGCUAUGUGUGGCAGGGAUAAACGCUGAAAGCAUCUAAGCGUGAAGCCCCCCUCAAGAUGAGAUUUCCCAUUUCUUCGGAAAGUAAGAUCCCUGAAAGAUGAUCAGGUAGAUAGGUUUGGAGUGGAAGUGUAGCGAUACAUGGAGCGGACAAAUACUAAUCGAUCGAGGACUUAACCAA